GACCAGGAGGUUAUGGAUCUGUUUUUUUCCUAAUAAUAGCAUAACGAAAUAGAUUUGGCAAACAAUCCAGUGUAUCUGCCCUUCUGCUUUG